GACGAACGCUGGCGGCGCGCCUAACACAUGCAAGUCGAACGAGCGAGAGAGAGCUUGCGUUUCUCAAGCGAGUGGCGAACGGGUGAGUAACGCGUGAGGAACCUGCCUCAAAGAGGGGGACAACAGUUGGAAACGACUGCUAAUACCGCAUAAGCCCACAGCUCGGCAUCGAGCAGAGGGAAAAGGAGUGAUCCGCUCAAAGAUGGACUCGCGUCCGAUUAGUUAGUUGGUGAGGUAACGGCUCACCAAGACCGCGAUCGGUAGCCGGACUGAGAGGUUGAACGGCCACAUUGGGACUGAGACACGGCCCAG
rnacentral:rRNA from 1 species